CCCCUCGCACAUGCUCAGUAAUCGCGCCGGGCUCUCCGGCCAGCCCCACCCCCGCCGCCGCCGCCGCCGCCGCCGCCGCCGCCGCCGCCGCCCCUCCGCCUGCCUCGGGGCUGCCGGUGCCGGGCGGCGCCGAAGCCGCCCCGAGUCCGCGGCUCCGGAUUUUCCCAAGAGCACGAGGAAGAGCCUGGCCCGUGCGGGGGAUGCUGUCAGUGGCCGCGUUCUUCGUCUUCUUCAGGCAGACAUGGCGGAUCUAUAUCUGGAGCUGAAGGCAGUAAGAAGAGAGAGAGACACUGGACCUGGCUUUAGCUUCGGAAACCUCAAAGCCCAUGCCCUGCGACACACUUCCUCCUACAAGGCCACUCCCUAUGACCUAUGGGGGCUGUUUUCAUUCAAACCAUCACACUGGGUAUGGUGUUAUUCAUUGAAACAUGGGUUUCUUACGAAAGCUCACACCACUGAAGAAAAGUGAUCCCUUCUCUCAUAGCAGCCCUUACCAGCUGCUAAUGGUUUCUCAACGAAGGGUAGAGCCUUAUGAGCCCUUCCCCCAUCUUUGCUGAAACGUCCGUGGGCUCCAUCUUGUACAGGUCUUGUGCAGACAAAAAUACAAACCCAGGUACAGAUAUUGGGGUUCGAGCUUCAAGCUGAAGAUCAGAGAAGCAAAGCAGGAAGGCCACUAGCUCUUCCUCUACCUUGGGCUGAAAGGGCUGUCCUCAGCAUGGCUGGAGAAUAAAUCUCUCCACCAAGCCUCAGACUGCAAUCCCAGACUGCUGCCUUUAUCUUUUAUACCUCUCAAAUCCUGGGAUUAAAUGUGUGUGAUCCCACAUGCUAAGAUCACCUUUGUGAACUGUUUCUCUUUCAGACUUGAUCAAUUUCAUGUAACUCAGUGUGGCCUUGAACUAACAGAGAUGCAUCUGCUUGUCUCUUGAGUCCUGAGAUUAAAGGUGUGUUCUUGGCUCUAUGGUUAACUAGUGUGGCUGCUGGGGUUAAAGGUGUGUAUCACCAUUUCCUAGCUCUAUGACUUGUGGCUAGUUUUGCUUUCUGUACCUUCAGGCAAGCUUCAAUAAAUCAUAAAUAAUAUAUCACCACAAUCUUUGUUGUAUUAUUUCAACUUAUUUGUAUUUAAAUGAAAAUAUUCAAUUCAUUUUUAAGAUAAAAAACUUUAAUGAUAUUUGUAUGUGUAUCUGUAGGAAAGGUGUGUGUGUGAGAGAGUUUAGUUGCCUGCAGAGGCCAGAGGUAUUAGAGCUGGUAAUCCCUGGAGCUGGAUUACAGGUUUUUAUGAACUUCCUGUCCCAGGUGGGUGCUGGGUACUGAACUUUGUUCCUCUGUAAAAGCAAUAUGUACUCUUAACCACUGAUUGAUUCAUCUUUCCAGUCCCUUAAACUUACAUUUUCACAACUUACUAUUUUAAAUUUUAAAAUGUAAGAUUGAAUGACACAAUAACAUUCCUGCUCUAUCCACAAAGUUUAACAAUUAUUAACCCAUUGCCAAAUUAAAAAAAUUUCUAUGUGUAUCUACAUAUUCAUUUUUGCUGAAGUAAUUGAAAUCAUUUGAAAUCUAACUGCUAAAUACUUAUUAUCCUACUUGUAAGGACAGGAAUGUUCUUCUUUACCAUAAGGGAAUCAAUUCUCCCAAUAAAGUUAAUGAUUUCAUAGUUUAAAAUCCAAUCCAUUGUAAAAUUCAUAGGUAAAAUUAAAGAAAUACCAGUUGACUCAUGUGACACAUGGAUGAACUCUGAAAACAUCAUGCUGAGUGAAAGAAGUUAAACAUAAAAGGCCAUAUGGUGUGGUUCUAUUUAUAUGAAAUUUCUAGAGUAGAAAAACCUAUAAAGAUAGAGAUCUUAGUGAUUGCCAGAGGCUGAGAGAACAGUGAUGUAUAAUAGCUACGAGACAACUAGUACAGGUUUGCUUUUGGAGUAAAUGAAAUGCGCUGGGAUUAUAUAUUGUGACCAUUGCAUGUCAUUAUGAGCAUGAAGCAAAAUCCCUACAUUUUCCAACUUCCGUUAAGAGUAUGAUGCUCAGUGAGUAAUCUAUGUGACUUGUUGAAAUCUCAGGGCAGCUGCCCUAAAAAGAGAAGGAAAUCAAAUGGAAAGUGGUAGGAAACAAGAGGGCUGAAAGGGAAGGUAGUCUUUCUUAUGAGUGUAACAUUAGAUUGCCAGGAAAGAAGGCCUGAGAGAGGUAUCAAGAUUUAUGUAUGAAAGGAGCCAGUGGGAAGAAACACUGUCAUGUAACAAUGCAUGUGUUUAAAAAGCACUCUAUGAAUGUCUUAAUCUGUUUGGCCUACACACCAUUUAGCCAUCGACUUCCUCUAGCCCUGGCCAGCUUCCAACCUCAGAGGUGCUUUUCUUCCAUUAAAAAAAACAAAAACAAAAACAAAAACAAAAAAACUAUAUCUGUUUCUGCCAAUACUCACUUAUCCGUAGUCUAAUGUCUUGUAUGAGACACAAGAACAUGCAUAUAUCAACAGGCCCCCUCUGUAGCCUGAAUCCUAGUCUAUAACGGUAGUAUUACCUUGACACUAGGAUAUUCAAGUAUUCUGGCUAGAUGUGGCAUUUAUGGUUUUAGAAGACUUACUGUGUGUGUAACAAAAUCUUUGAGUACUUCAGUUCCUUAUGUGGAGGGACAAGUAAGACUGACCAAGCCAGCCGGGUGGUGGUGGCGCACACCUUUAAUUCCAGCACUCGGGAGGCAGAGGCAGGUGGAUCUCUGAGUUCAAGACCAGCCUGGUCUACAAGAGCUAGUUCCAGGACAGCCACAGAGAAACCCUGUCUAGAAAAAACAAAAAACAAAAAACAAAAAACAAAACAAAAAAAAAGACUGACAAAGCCCCUGUACCAGCAGGAGAGGGUUUGUAUAGUUCAUAGGUUCUCUGGUUCCCCAUGGACAUCCCAGUGUACCACUGAUACUUAAUGCAAGGAAACACUCAUCACCAUGACUACAGAAGUAUCAGCUGACCUCUCAGACAGAAGAUUUGAUUAAAUGGAAAAGUGGACAGCACUGCUUGUGAGACUGUUAGGUUGCCUACCUGACAAAGAAAACAACAGGCAUUUUAUCUGGUGUUGGAGUAGUCCAAAAUCUGGAUAACAUAAGGACAAGAAGAAGAGAAUCAUUCCAGACACUGUUGGCUAAGAUCACAUAAGCAUCGAAUUUUCUCCUACCAAUAUUCCAUUCUGAACAAGAAGACUUACCACAUAUCAGAGACACAGAUGUGUCUGGCAACUUGAAUAUGGCACAAAGCAAAGAAGAAAGAAACAGUCUCCUUUUUUGGAUGGCACAGCAUGACUUCAGCACAUUGAAGCUUCUCCGAAGCUCUUCAGCUGCUGAACUGUGGGCAUCCUAAAGGCUGUUUCUUACAAGUCAAAGCCUCUGUUCUUGGUCCUGUGCGGGGAGUACAAACAAAACAGAUUUGAUUCUGUGGACUCCCAAGGAGAACUGGGAAGCCUUUGAGAGAACCUGGAGAACCCGAACAUUGUAACUUGGGGGCAAAAGGGGUACAAACAAAGCAGAAAUAUGGAUUUUUUACUAUCAAUGUACCUUAGUCCUAUUUAUUGCAUGGGUGUCAUAUUGUGAAAUAUGGACAACAUAUUCUGAUUAGAUAGAUUAAAAUACUGUGUUUUGAAUAUAGUUUAUAGAGAUACAAAAACAUUCAGUUACUCAACCCAUCUUUAGAAAUAUUGUAUCCCUGUUUUGCACAAUUCUUUUUCUACUACUCUUAGAUAUUUGUGUGUGUGUGUGUGUGUGUGUGUGUGUGUGUGUGUGUGUGUGUGUGUGUGUGUGUGUGUGUUUAUAUCUGUGCAUGAAAAAGUGUGUAAAAAGGCAUGUGUAGGCCAGAGGUCAAUGCUGGGUGUCUUCUUCAAUUACUCUCCACUUUAUUUGUUAAGGCAGGGCCUUCCAUUGAACCUGAAACUCACUGAUUCAGCUAGACUCGAUGGCCAGAGAUCUCCAGGGAUCCUCCUUUCUCUACUUUGCAGUUCAGGUUACAGGCAUGCACCCCAACAUCCGUUGUUUUUCCUAGUGCUUAAGAUCCAAACUCCAGUCUUCAUAACUGGUCAAGCACUUACUAACUGUGCCAUCUCCUCAGCACCUUGGUUAUUUUUUAAGUGAUGAAAAUUUUUCUGUGAUUUUACAUGCUACUUCUAAAGCUCCUGAAAGACUGCAAAUUAUAAAGCACACAGAGGGAUAAAAUUUAGAAAAAGCUUUGUCUACUUUUCAGCUUUUGUUGUUGUAUAAUGAAUGGUUAUUUAUUGCUUUGCUUUACUCACUUGGUUUUGACAAUUAAAACAUGACUACUGACAUGUCAAACGUUAAACCAAGGAGUUUAAUGCCAAAGUCUCCUAUGGAGAAGAAGGGACUUGUGAAUGUUGUAUCUAUCUCUUUGUGUCUAGGUGAGAUCUAAACUGACAUACAUCUUGGUGGCAGUGCUCCAAGCAUGUGUCACCUAAAUCAGCCCAUACUUCCCAGUGAUUAUUCUCAUGAUGGCAUCUACUGCUUAGAGUCUGUCCUUAUUAAGGUGUGUGUGUGUGUGUGUCAACUUGAGAUGUUAGGAUUGCCUAUAGAAUAAAUGAGCUUUCAUAUUCUUUGAGAACACAAAUAUUCC
ensembl:lncRNA